UACAGAGGGUGCAAGCGUUAAUCGGAAUUACUGGGCGUAAAGCGUGCGCAGGCGGCUUUGCAAGACAGAUGUGAAAUCCCCGGGCUUAACCUGGGAACUGCAUUUGUGACUGCAUGGCUAGAGUGCGGCAGAGGGGGAUGGAAUUCCGCGUGUAGCAGUGAAAUGCGUAGAUAUGCGGAGGAACACCGAUGGCGAGGGCAAUCCCCUGGGCCUGCACUGACGCUCAUGCACGAAAGCGUGGGGAGCAAACAGG
rnacentral:rRNA from 1 species